GCCUCAAGAUGGGGCAGACUCUACUGUGCCCUUUAUGCUCCAGAGCACCCUAUGGGAUUAGGCAGAGAGAGACUAGGCUUCUCUUGAAACCGCAUCCUUGCUUUCCUCCCAGUCCUCUUUCCUCCCUCCCUUACAGAUUUCUCCUGCGAACAGCCCCCAAUAAAUUACAUGCCCAAGGACCCCUAUCUUAGGCUCUGCUUCCGGGGAACCCGACCCAAGACAAUUACUAAGUUCACCUUAAAGAUAUUCCUCCUAUGGAUGGCGGGGGCAUAUAAGGAGAGUGUUUUUAGCAAGUUACUCUACCCAGAUUUUGGCAACACAUCUGCAUUACUUUAAGACUCAUAUCCACAAUUGUUAUAUCCUGCCUAUAAUUUUGAAGGUUUCCUUGACAAGAUGGUAAUUCAGUCUCAUACAGAUUGAUUCUCGGUGAGAGAAGCUGGGUGACAGAUGAUCUUUUAGCCAGCCAGAAUCGCUAGUGAGGCACAUGUGGAAUGUCCGAAGGUCUUGUUCCAAGAGUCAACUCUUCUGUGGGAAAAGGCCACGAUGCAUCCAAGUUUGAGCUCUGAAGGUGCCUAUGAAGCUCCUCCCCCAGGCCUAAAAUAAUGAGGACAGGCAGCCCUAGGGAGCUGUCCAUCUUGGAAUGGAAACAAGAGUCAAUGAAGGGUCUAUUCCUGGGAUGCUCUCCCAUCUCCCUGGGCUCUGGAAGUCUUGGUUCCCACAAAACCUCAAACAGAUGGUUGCAAGAUUGAUUCUGGGCUUGUGGAACUUGAGCCACACCCCAAAUGAAGUUUACCUCCAGGGUGGCCCGGAGCCACCUUUUCUAAUGUUUCCUUUACUUCCUCUCCUACUUGACCCAGCGCAGGAGUCAAGGAUCAGCAUGAAACAGUCUUAUGUUCCCAGCACACAGAAAUGAAUUGUCAUAAUCUCCAUCUCAUGGGGUUGAGAAUGCCUUGUGCAGAUUUUUCCAUCCUUUAAGAUGAACAAAACAAAGCUAUAUUUCAAAGAAUCUAUUCUCAUAGGAAUCCACUGUAAAAGCUAGUUCUCACUCUCAGGACAUUCUUUUCAACAAAUCUGAAAGUCUCACGUUGCAAAUGAAGCUAAUUUCCUUUUAUGUAGCAUUUGCAGAACUGUCUACUGAUAUCCGCUGCUCAAAAGCAUUACGAGGAAAAGUCAAAACUCUGUUGAAAACAAUAUUAGCGGAAGCUUAUUUUAAGGAUGAACUGGUUAUUCAUCUCCGGACACUCCUCAUUUUAUUCUUGGUGGACCACUGGAGAGCAGAACAUUUAGAUCAUACUGUAGAAGACGUCUGUGAAAAAUUGCUUUUGCCAGAAAGCGCAUUGAUGUUCAACCUUCUUAACUUCAUACUGAGGGGUCUUUAAUAAACACCCCUUGCCCACCAGCAAUCACAUUUAUUAUAGAGGUGAUAUGCCCAUGUGAAAAUCUGCAUGGAAAUGUUCUUUUAGUUCUAGGUGCUAGGAGAAGCUUUACUUCCUCAGAAUUACUGGCAGGCUUUAUUUCUUAGACAAUAUGAAUCACACACUUGACUAUAUUUUCCCUUUUUGAGUGGGCUAUCAGAAAGCUUAGAGUCAAAUUUUUGGCU
ensembl:lncRNA